rnacentral:rRNA from 1 species
CCCAACAGGGAUUGCCUCAGUAACGGCGAGUGAAGCGGCAACAGCUCAAAUUUGAAAUCUGGCCCCAGGCCCGAGUUGUAAUUUGCAGAGGAUGCUUCUGGUUAGGUGCCUUCCAAGUCCCCUGGAACGGGGCGCCGAAGAGGGUGAGAGCCCCGUCCGGUCGGCCACCAAGCCUGUGUGAAGCUCCUUCGACGAGUCGAGUAGUUUGGGAAUGCUGCUCUAAACGGGAGGUAGACCCCUUCUAAAGCUAAAUACCGGCCAGAGACCGAUAGCGCACAAGUAGAGUGAUCGAAAGAUGAAAAGCACUUUGAAAAGAGGGUUAAAAAGUACGUGAAAUUGUUGAAAGGGAAGCGCUUGUGACCAGACGUGUGCCGGGGUGUUCAGCGGGCGUUCUCGCCCGUGCACUCGCCCCGGUACAGGCCAGCGUCGGUUCGCGCGGGGGGACAAAGGCGCUGGGAACGUGGCUCCUCCGGGAGUGUUAUAGCCCAGCGUGCCAUGCCCCCGCGCGGACCGAGGUUCGCGCUCCGCAAGGACGCUGGCGUAAUGGUCUCCAGCGGCCCGUCUUGAAACACGGACCAAGGAGUCGAGGUUUUGCGCGAGUGUUUGGGUGUCAAACCCGCACGCGUAAUGAAAGUGAACGCAGGUGGGAGCUUCGGCGCACCACCGACCGAUCCUGAUGUUCUCGGAUGGAUUUGAGUAGGAGCGUAGGGCCUCGGACCCGAAAGAUGGUGAACUAUACGUGGAUAGGGUGAAGCCAGAGGAAACUCUGGUGGAGGCUCGCAGCGGUUCUGACGUGCAAAUCGAUCGUCAAAUCUGCGUAUGGGGGCGAAAGACUAAUCGAACCAU